ensembl:lncRNA
AAAACAAGACACAAAGUGUGAAUUUCAAAAUGGAACCCGAACAAAAAGUUUGAUGCAAAUGAAGCUCGAGGCCUCGUCAGUGUUUCACGUGUCGUUCGUGUUGUGUAAGAAUGUGUAGAGGGUUCCUCCCUUCUCUCUAGCUCUGCAGGGCAUUGUGGGUCGUGGCGCCACAGUGCUGCUCGUGGUCUCAGCGGGGUUGGGGUAUGGUUGGUCAACGCUACAGCACUGCGGGUCAAAAGUCAGCCAGUGGAUGUGGGAGGGGUCAUGGAGAGUGUGUGUGUGCGAGAGAAGGGGUCAGAGAAAGCGCAUGCCAGCACCAGAAGAGACUGAUAACACACCAAGAGCGGUUUCUGGAUAUAAAGCUCAGCGCGUGUUUGCCGCGUGUUUACCGCGUGUUUGUCGCGUGGUUGUCGCGUGUUUACCGCGUGUUUACCGCGUGUUUGCCGCGUGUUGCUAUUUGGGUUACAUCGAGCAGCAGCUGUGUUUUCUAAUGUUCACCACAAUCACUCUAUGACUUUAAUUCAGUAUUUGGAUGAACCUCUCUGCAGUAAUGACGGCGCACGUGUUGUAAGGAGGAGGAUUUAUCAAAAGAAAAUAACUGAAACUACAACAAUGUGUAUGAACUUUGCUGCCAAAGGUCAGGAACUAUCUUUGUCUCUGUCCUCGGGGGGGCGUCUCCCCGAGUGUCUCCCUGCUAAUUGUCUCCGUGCUUUUACAUCGUCUCUGUCACUUUCUAUCUCGCUCUCUGACACUUUAAUUCAUCCGCCACUUUCUUUGUCUCUCCCUCUUGUCUUCCUUUCAAUCAGAGCUUUUCAAACCUCUUUAACCGCCAACAACCAACCAACCACACGCACACACACACACACACACACACACACUCCAGCUGUUAUUCCUGAUGGCGUGUUACAAAUGAGAUGUUGAAAGCUGAUCGCUGGGACGGGAGACACAGACCCUUGUUUUCUUUGGGCUUCGCUCUGUCACAUUGUGUCUCGUGGGGCUGGUCUGUGUGUGUGUGUGUGUGUCUGUGUCCGUGUGUGUGUGUGUGUGCGUGCGUGAUAGACAGGGGGACAGGAACACAAAGGCUACCUCAAUCCAAAAAUACCACCGUCGUGACCUCAGUCUCAAAUGUGAUUGACAUGUCAUGGACGGUCGGCCACGCUCUCCCCCCCCUGUUUGUUUAUCAGUCAUACGGACGACCUUCGACCCCAGGAAGUGGAGGCCCAUCGGGGGGCAGGAUGUCAAGGCAGGCGGCUUUAGGAAAUUCUUUCGCUAAGCUGUAGCUGUAGAUUCUGCCUCCGACGGGUGGAGCGCGUUCGGGUGGAGCUGAAGGUGCAGACGGGCCAGCUGUCGAUGUGGAAUCCACACGGGGGGGAUUGUGAGAGACGUGGGGGGGGGGGGGACGUGCACGCUGUGACUUCACGUCCGUUUCGGCGCGUUGGUUCGUUUCGAUGUGUGGAAAUGUCUCAGGAGGAGACAAACCGACCUGUUCGCCGCUCCCUCCUGCAGGGGGAGGGACUCCUGACGGGACGUCAACAACGGCCUCUCCGGGAGGUGAUCGUCGGCCCUGACCUCGCUUGUCUCAGCUCGCCACAGAAGACUUUGAAAAUCAUUCAACCGCGAGUGGCAUUUCUCCCGUUUCCCACAAAGUGUCCGUGUCCGCACAAAGACGUGUGUGUGCAGUGGGUUGGAGGUGACGCGUGAACACCGCACUACACGGGCCUCCUUCACGUCGGGCGGCUCAGCGCACUUAUGAUCCGGAGGUAAUCCGUCUCUUGUGUGGGCUCCAUCGUCACACAGGGACACAACAGGCCUUUUCUUCCACGCGUAAUUAACAGAGUGAAAGCCACGUAACUCCUCAUGGGGCGGGAACAACGGGCCCGUUACGGGACACUUUCAGCUACUGGCCGGGCAUCUCUGAAGACACUCAACAUGGAGCCGUCAGAGCAAAGCAAUACAGGAAAAGCCCUGUGGAAGCUUGUGGGUUGUGUUGAACACCGAAGACGUAAACACUGCUCUUACGGUAAUUUCAUAUCCAACUUUGCAUGUGGGGUGUUAUUUACGUUGGGAUUAGCGAGACCUUUGUGUUAAAUAGAGGCUCAGCGUUGGUCCGGGUGGGGGAACGUUUGUCUUCCCACCUGUGGAAAGGCGACAGGUGCAGCAGCCAGAAGGAAAGAACAAUACAACGACAUAAGGGGAGAGAGGGAACCCAAUCACAUCUCUCCUAUCGGGGCAUGAAAUACCUGCUGAAGACGUUGGGAGAAAGAAGGGCUUAGCACACGGUUUCACUCCUGUGUGUGCGUGCGUGUGUGUGUGUGUGCGUGUGCGUGUGUGUGUGUGUGCGUGUGGGUCGCUCAGAGGAUCAGGUUUCCGUACCAACCACUCAGCAGAUUCCUCACAGUGUUUGUGGCCGCUGGUGAUUUUCUUUGGCGGAGGCGCGCGAGACGAGUGUAAGCCUUAAGUCUGUGUGUGUCAGUGUGUGUGUGUGUGUGUGCGCGUGUGUGUGUGUGUGCGUCGUGUCGCCCUACGAUGCUCGUCGGCGUGUCUUCCCUCAGGCCUGGUGUUCGCCGUCGGGACGGAGCGAAGCAGCAGCUUCGUGUGUCUGAUGUCUGUUGUUGGGGUGGAAGUGGCUGUGCCCCCCCCCCGAACACACAGGCAGAGCCCCCCGGGUCGGAACGAAGGAAUGGCCUCGUUGAGCGAUCCCUCCGCGAUGGAGCAGACGGGAUGACCGGAUCCAGGCUUGUGAGGAGGAUUAAAGUCGCUGGAAGUGUUGAUGAGCGCAAAUAGUCCACUUACGGCCGUUGGGUGAUUUAAAGGAACCGCUCGGUAAAGACAACAAAUGGGUCCAUGCUAAACCCGACCGCGUUGUUAGCGUGUCAAAGGUCAAAGGUGUGCGAGGCCUCGAUGGCCGGAGCAAGAACGACCGCAGAGAAGGAGGCCGGAGACGGAUGGUCGGAUGUUCUUAAAGGACUCCAGAGGGUUCUGUGGUGUCUGGACAGAAAUGAUUAACAGCAUAAUCUGCGUACGUUAAUGAGGCCAAACAUGUAAAUAGAUUCCCUCUAAGGAACAGGCUCUGACUUAGCCCUCAUCUAGCUAACUUUACACUUUACACUUCAGAGUAGUUACACCUCUUUUUCAUGUUGCAUCUGAAAUGUUUGGGGCUGCAGACCGACGUGGAAAGAAGGUUUCGUUGACCCGGUUCACCUGAAGGCAGCGAGUCGCUCCAAGGACGGAAGGCUCUGCUUUGUUUGGCCUCCAGCUUCCACGAGGCUUGUGAGACGCUGAAGCCACCUACACGCUCCCUGCACACGGAAGGGAGGAUGUGCGCGGUGUGUGUUUGUGUGUGUGUGUGUGUGUGAGAGAUCCGGUUGACUGGCUGCAGACACGGGGGCCUCGUGAGGACCACGUCUGAGGGUCUGGGGGUCUGCCCCCUAACACGUGAAGACCCAGGCUUCCUGAACUGAAUGUGAACGGAGAACGUAAGAUAUCACGAAAGUCCAGCAGGCCGUGUGCAUUGUGAAAACACACACGCGUGUAGAAACACACACGCCGACCUCUCGUCGGUUACACCCCUCGAGGCUGAUUUAAACAGACUUAACUUGGGUCACGGACCGCGGAGCAGGAGGAGGAGGAGGAAGACGAAGAGGAGGGGAAGGAAGGGAGUGAGGAGAGGAGGCGGCUGGUCUGUGUUCCCUUCGCAGGAGGAGAGAGGGAGUCGAGGAAGAAAGGGGGGGGGGGUUAACUGUUGAGAGCCGAGCGGUUCGGCUGGAGGUCCUGAUCCCGAGACCCUCGGGGGAAGAAACGGUGCAAGUUCUGUGUGUGCGAGCCGUUCAAAUCCCAGGAGAGGAAGAAGAGAAAGGAGCCAAGAGGAGGGUGAGAACGAGGGUGAUGAAAGAGAGGAGAGAGAGGAAGGGCAGCAAUGGGGAUUGAGGGGUUAAGUGUGUGAGAGAGAGAGAGGGGGGGGGAGAGUAGUGGGAGUUCAGGGGAUGAGAUUUCAAUCUGUUGGAAGAAGAAAAGAGACGACUAAAUAAAUAUGGAGAAAGAACAAAUAUGAGCAUUGAAUGGAAACGACAAACGGGAGGAGGAGGAAAGAUGGAAAAAGAGAAUUACAAAGAAAGAGAGGAGAAGAAGAGGGAGGAGG